UGAUUUGAUUUAACUCAACCUUUCAUGGGUUUUGUUCUAUUAUACUAAACAGGGUUGUGCUAGGAAUCCUACUCAUGCAUUCAUGGGGCUUGUCAGCAAGGGUCUUGAGCUAUGGAUAUAUUAGGCUGUUUGCACAGAGGGGAGUGUCACCCAUAUGCUAGCAAUAGUCCACUAUGUCAGAAGAUCCAAAACCUUCAACUGGAGUAUGGCAAACAUAUUUUCCAGUUCAGGACUGAAAAUUAGGCAAUGUGUUUCCUGAACAGAGGAUCCGCCACGUGUGAAGCUCAGGCACAAGUUGAUUUGCUCUCAUUCAAUUAGUCAAGAAAACCUCAUAAGUCAAAGCUUCUCAAGGAUUUGAUUGUUCAGGUAGUUUUUCUAUUUGUAUUCUGAUUUUAAGAAGUUCUGAGCAUGAUCAUUACUGCCAUUUUUAUAUAUACUUUAGGUAUAUCGACAUGAUGAUAAUAACAUGGAAAACAUGAGAAUUCAUGGAUUGUUGGCUCCAUUAAAGCCUUUUGGAUACAUUGUAGAAGCCCUGGAGAUGCUAUUGAUGUCCAUGGCAAAAGAUGGUACUGAGGCUCUUAGGCUCAAUGGGAAAUGAUGCUCCUUUGGCUGUGAUGUCCAACAGAGAGAAACUUACAUUUGAGUAUUUCAAGCAGAUGUUUGCUUAGGUAACAAACCCACCGAUUGAUCCAAUCUGAGAGAAAAUAGUCACGUGGAAGGGGACCUUACUGAAACAGUUCAUGCGGAAGGCUAUGUGGCAGUUUGUUUGUUUUGAAAACUUUCAAUAGACCAUUAAUUGUUUUGUUGGUAUUGUGCUGAUUGUUGUCUUGAUGGAUGUUAAAUGGGUGAAACAUGCACAGGUUCAAUGAUUGGUUGAUUAUAAUAUUGUUAGCUUUUGUUGAUAGAAACUA